AUUGAACGCUGGCGGCAGGCCUAACACAUGCAAGUCGAACGGUAACAGGAAGAAGCUUGCUUCUUUGCUGACGAGUGGCGGACGGGUGAGUAAUGUCUGGGAAACUGCCUGAUGGAGGGGGAUAACUACUGGAAACGGUAGCUAAUACCGCAUAACGUCGCAAGACCAGAGAGGGGGACCUUCGGGCCUCUUGCCAUCGGAUGUGCCCAGAUGGGAUUAGCUAGUAGGUGGGGUAACGGCUCACCUAGGCGACGAUCCCUAGCUGGUCUGAGAGGAUGACCAGCCACACUGGAACUGAGACACGGUCCAGACUCCUACGGGAGGCAGCAGUGGGGAAUAUUGCACAAAGGGCGCAAGCCUGAUGCAGCCAUGCCGCGUGUAUGAAGAAGGCCUUCGGGUUGUAAAGUACUUUCAGCGGGGAGGAAGGGAGUAAGGUUAAUACCUUUGCUCAUUGACGUUACCCGCAGAAGAAGCACCGGCUAACUCCGUG
rnacentral:rRNA from 1 species